rnacentral:misc_RNA from 1 species
CACCGCGAUCAGAAAUCCAAUUUCUACUCUCUCUUCUUCCCCUUAAUUUGCCUUCUUUCCAAAUUCCUUUCACUUCACAUUCCAAAACCCUCAUUCUCCCACUCCCCUUCCUCCUCCUCUUCCACCAUUACGUUUUUUAGCUAUGAAGGACCGGCCACUUUCCUCGUACAGUGCCAUUUAUGUUCCUCCGCACCAACGUCUUCGCUCUG